rnacentral:rRNA from 1 species
GGAUCAAUAUAACAGUCAUGCCGUUGGUAUGCACUGUUAUAAUUGGUUUCUCACCUUCUAAAGAAUUGUAAUGCCAUUAAUUUGGUGUCACAGGGAAUUAGGACUGGUAUCUUGAAAAAAUUAGAGUGUUUAAAGCAGGCUCACGCUUGAAUACAUUAGCAUGGAAUAAUGAAAUAGGACAUCCGAUUCUAUUUUGUUGGUUUCUAGGAUCGAUGUA